UGAUCUUCUCCUUGUUGAAAGUAUAAAUCGUGAAACGGAAAGUCUUUGCAGGAGCUGUAGGACAAUGGAUCUUGCAGGUAAACAACAGCCUCUAAGGCCAUAAUUAGCUACAAAAUUAGUUGAAAGUAUACUAAAAAAAAUAUGAAAAGGGUCCGAGAGAGAGAGAAAAGAAAGACAGAAAGUGAUUGUCUCUCUCUUUUUGCUUCGAGAGGAAGACAAGUCAAAAGCAAAACUGAAGAACAAAAAGGAAAGAGAAAAGAAACAAGAAGGUCAAACAAGAUCGUGGUUUAGAUGGAUGGAAGAGAGGAGAAGCUUGUGAGGGUAUAAGGCUGAUAUAUAUUCGUAGUAACAGAAUAAGUACCAAAGAAAAUCGAAUCAACUGAGCUAAAGAGUAGAAGAUAUAGAGAGAUAUGUUGUAUGUUUUGUUUUGCACGUGAGACUAUAGACCGGUCCGCAAACCCAGAGAAAAGAUUCUGUGUGUUUUGGCAGGCUUUGGGGCUUUGUCUAGUUACACUCAUGUUCUAGGAGAGAGAUAUAACAAGUUGAAGUCUCAAGACUCUCUACUUUAUACGUUGCUAUGAAUUAAUGUUUUUUGCCGUAUAUCAGAUGCGUCGCUAUAAUCAAAUGAAAACUAAAAUUAAUUCAAUUUUUUUUAAGAUUAAUGAAAGUUAAAAUCAGUAAAAAUAA